CUGGCCAGUCUAGCCAAUUGAGCUUUCUUCAGGACCUCUGGCUGCAAGGCCUUUUCCCCUGCAGGAAGAUGGAUCCUAACAGACCUUCCGGGAGAGCCUCUCCCCGCGGGGCAGACAUCUACCAGGUACCCUCCUGAGGGCCUGACCCUUGUACGCUCACAGACACGGAAGACUGAGGUAGAGCAGGCGCUGCAGUGAGGGCAGAGACAAGACCAGCUGCACCAAAGGUGGAGAAAAAGAGCAAGAAAAAGAAAUUCCACAGAAGCCCAGAGGGAAGGAUAGGAUUUUCUUCCCGCCCAGCAGCGAGUUGG